CCAAUCGAACUCGGAGAUAGCUGGUUCUCCCCGAAAUAGCUUUAGGGCUAGCCUCGUUUUAAAUUACCGGGGGUAGAGCACUGAAUGGGCUAGGGGGCCACAAAGCUUACCGAACCCUAUCAAACUUCGAAUACCGGAUAAUUGAUGAACGGGAGUCAGACGGCGGGAGAUAAGUUUCGUCGUCAAAAGGGAAACAGCCCAGAUCUACGACUAAGGUCCCGAAAUCACAGUUAAGUGGAAAAGGAUGUGCAGUUGCACAGACAACCAGGAUGUUGGCUUAGAAGCAGCCACUCAUUUAAAGAGUGCGUAAUAGCUCACUGGUCGAGUGAUUGUGCGCCGAAAAUGUACCGGGGCUAAACUGUGUACCGAAGUCUAGGGAUCGUGAUAAACGAUCGGUAGGGGAGCAACGUGUGCGGGCUGAAGCCGAAGCGGAAGCGACGGUGGACUGCACGGGAGAGAGAAUGCCGGCAUGAGUAGCGAGAGCAAAGUGAGAAUCUUUGCCGUCGAAAGCCUAAGGUUUCCUGAGGAAGGCUCGUCCUCUCAGGGUAAGUCAGGACCUAAGCCGAGGACAAAAGUCGUAGGCGAUGGACAACUGGUUGAUAUUCCAGUACCACCUUUAGCGUUUGACUGAAGCAGUGACACAGAAGGAUAGACAGAGCGCGUGACUGGUAGAGCGCGUCCAAGCGAUGAGGGAGUUGAUUAGUGAAGUACGGUCAGCAAUCCUGGGUCGUGAUGGGGACUGAAAAUAAGUAGGGAAGCUGUUGAAUUCACGCUGGCGAGAAAAGCUGCUAAGGAGCGAAAGGGUGCCUGUACCGCAAACCGACACAGGUAGGCGAGGAGAGAAUCCUAAGACGAGCGGGAGAACCCAUGUUAAGGAACUCGGCAAAAUGACCCUGUAACUUCGGGAUAAAGGGAGCCACGAGAGUGGCCGCAGAGAAUAGGCCCAAGCGACUGUUUACCAAAAACACAGGUCUGUGCGAAGUAGAGAUACGACGUAUACGGGCUGACGCCUGCCCAGUGCCGGAAGGUUAAGGGGAAGUGUUAGGGCAACCGAAGCACGGAACUUAAGCCCCGGUGAACGGCGGCCGUAACUAUAACGGUCCUAAGGUAGCGAAAUUCCUUGUCGGGUAAGUUCCGACCCGCACGAAUGGCGUAACGACUUGGGCACUGUCUCAACAUGGGACCCGGCGAAAUUGUAGUAUGUGUGAAGAUGCACAUUACCCGCGAUAGGACGGAAAGACCCCGUAGAGCUUUACUGUAGUUUAACAUUGGAUUUCGGUAACAUAUGUACAGGAUAGGUGGGAGGCGAAGAACCAGGGACGCCAGUUUCUGGGGAGCCGACCUUGGGAUACCACUCUUGUGUUAUUGGAGUUCUAACGAAUUGCCGUGAACCGGGAUUCGGACAGUGUUAGAUGGGCAGUUUGACUGGGGCGGUCGCCUCCCAAAGAGUAACGGAGGCGUCCAAAGGUUCCCUCAGAAUGGUUGGAAACCAUUCGCAGAGUGUAAAGGCAGAAGGGAGCUUGACUGCGAGACCGACAGGUCGAGCAGGUGCGAAAGCAGGGCUUAGUGAUCCGGCGGUAUGAGAGUGGAAUUGCCGUCGCUCAACGGAUAAAAGCUACCCUGGGGAUAACAGGCUGAUCUCCCCCAAGAGUCCACAUCGACGGGGAGGUUUGGCACCUCGAUGUCGGCUCAUCGCAUCCUGGGGCUGAAUUCGGUCCCAAGGGUUUGGCUGUUCGCCAAUUAAAGCGGCACGCGAGCUGGGUUCAGAACGUCGUGAGACAGUUCGGUCCCUAUCCAUCGUGGGCGCAGGAGAUUUGAGAGGAGCUGUCCCUAGUACGAGAGGACCAGGAUGGACGCACCAAGGGUGAAUCAGUUGUUCUGCCAAGAGCAUAGCUGGGUAGCCAAGUGCGGAUCGGAUAAACGCUGAAGGCAUCUAAGCGUGAAGCCGACCUCAAGAUAAGAUCUCCCACCAGAAAUGGGUAAGACCCCUGGAAGACUACCAGGUUGAUAGGUCGGAGGUGGAAGUGCAGCAAUGCAUGUAGCUGACCGAUACUAAUAGGUCGAGGGCUUGAUCAA
rnacentral:rRNA from 1 species